rnacentral:rRNA from 2 species
GAAACGACUGCUAAGACUGGAUAGGAAGAAAUAAGGCAUCUUAUUUCUUUUAAAAGACCUAGUAAUAGGUAUACUUUAGGAGGGGCUUGCGCCAUAUUAGUUAGUUGGUAGGGUAAUGGCCUACCAAGACGAUGAUGUGUAGCUGGACUGAGAGGUUGAACAGCCACAUUGGGACUGAGACACGGCCCAAACUCCUACGGGAGGCAGCAGUAAGGAAUUUUCGGCAAUGGAGGAAACUCUGACCGAGCAACGCCGCGUGAACGACGAAGUACUUUGGUAUGUAAAGUUCUUUUAUCAAGGAAGAAAAGCAAGUGGCGAACCAUUUGUUUGCCGGUACUUGAUGAAUAAGCCCCGGCUAAUUAUGUGCCAGCAGCCGCGGUAAGACAUAAGGGGCAAGUGUUAUCCGGAAUUAUUGGGCGUAAAGGGUGCGUAGGCGGUCUAGUAAGUCAGUGGUGUAAUGGCAACGCUCAACGUUGUCCGGCUAUUGAAACUGCUAAACUUGAGUUAGAUAGAGGCGAGUGGAAUUCCAUGUGUAGCGGUAAAAUGCGUAAAUAUAUGGAGGAACACCAGAGGCGUAGGCGGCUCGCUGGGUCUUAACUGACGCUGAGGCACGAAAGCGUGGGGAGCAAACAGGAUUAGAUACCCUGGUAGUCCACGCCGUAAACGAUGAGUACUAAGUGUCGGGUUAAACCGGUACUGAAGUUAACACAUUAAGUACUCCGCCUGAGUAGUACGUACGCAAGUAUGAAACUUAAAGGAAUUGACGGGACUCCGCACAAGCGGUGGAUCAUGUUGUUUAAUUCGAAGAUACCCGAAAAACCUUACCAGGUCUUGACAUGUUUUUGCGAAACGGUAGUAAUAUCGUAGAGGUUAUCAGAAACACAGGUGGUGCAUGGUUGUCGUCAGCUCGUGUCGUGAGAUGUUAGGUUAAGUCCUAAAACGAGCGAAACCCUUAUCGUUAGUUGCCAGCACGUUAUGGUGGGGACUUUAACGAGACUGCCAGUGAUAAACUGGAGGAAGGUGAGGAUCACGUCAAAUCAGCAUGCCCCUUAUGACCUGGGCUACAAACGUGAUACAAUGGCUGUUACAAAGGGUAGCUGAAACGUAAGUUCUUGGCCAAUCCCCAAAAACAGUCUCAGUCCGGAUUGAAGUCUGCAACUCGACUUCAUGAAGUUGGAAUCGCUAGUAAUCGCGAAUCAGCAUGUCGCGGUGAAUACGUUCGCGGGGUUUGUACACACCGCCCGUC